GGAUACUCCGCUGCACCACCAGCCGUACGGCACUGUGUGGAGACUGUCUGACUGUCGUCUCGGAAAGGUCUAUUUGUGGGGGUUUUUUUAAGCAAGUCUGCAUGGAAAUGUGUCACCAAUAGCCAGCUGUUUCCAAACAGUUCAGCAUUGCUGGGGUAUUUUUACUGGAUGCAGGCGGAGGGACUGAUCUUGGAAGGAAACUUCAUGUGAAGUCCCCAGCCCGUUUGCAGAUUCAUGUGCUGGUCAAUUUCUGGAUGAGAUUUCAGCUUUCUCAGG